rnacentral:lncRNA from 1 species
GCCAGCUACCUAAUUUGCAUUCUGAAUGUGGCUUGGCUGAGGACCACCGUGAAUGCCUAAUUUGUAUGAUGAACCGUGAAUGCCUAGCAAUAAUCUCCUCUUGUCCCAUCUCCUCAGUCCUGUUAAGUGCAUCACAGGUUCGACAUAUUGUAGAAAGACAUUAUGACAAUAUGACCUGAAUAUGGAAAGGUUUAAAUAUAAGACUCGCUAAUAUAUUUUGAAUGUAUGUGCAAGUAGAUAUGGAAUAUUCAUAUGCUCUGCACCUGCUGAAUCAAUGUGCCUGUUUCUAUUCUAGGAGAACAAAUAUUAGAGAGUUUAAUUUGUUUAGAUAUUUGGUCAAACAAUUUAUGUUAGUUUGAGUUCAAAUUACUUUUUUAUGUAAUUUGAAGGAAAAAAAAUAGAGAACAUGCUAACAACUUAAUGAAUACCAUAAGCAUUGAAGUGCUUAAGUAUUACGAGUUAUCCUUCAACACUUUGAUAACCUUGAAAAGGAACUUCUAG